CUCACAGGUGAGGAGGAGAUAGAAGAUGCGUGCCGGAAAAUAACAAAAGAAGUUGGAAACAUGGGGGAUCAGGUGGGGCCAGUGAAAGUAGUGCCUCUGUAUUCAACUCUUCCACCUGCCAUGCAGCAGAAAAUUUUUGAACCUGCACCACCCCCAUUGGUAGAGGGUGGCCCUGCUGGUAGGAAGAUUGUAGUUUCAACAAACAUAGCAGAAACUUCUUU
rnacentral:misc_RNA from 1 species